UACCCACUGGAGUAUGACAUGUUCAGCAAUUAGGCUAUAGACUACCUGAACAACUUCAGAAAACCCAGAAAGGGAAUACGAAAUAGGUUCAAAAGCUGGGUGAAAUCCAGUAACAUUCACCAAGCUACCCCGUUCUGUGACGCAAGUUGAAACAAAACCCCAUAGUCCGCCGAGUCUUCCGUUAACAGGAAGGAGCGUUGGAAAGCACUAGUGCGCCAACUGUGAAGAAAAGACAGGACAGAUUGCUUCAGGCGAAUGGAAAGGUUCUUAAAAACCAGGAGGAUGGAGGAGACGAUGACAGUGGAGACGUCCGGGACACAGGGAUCUCAAGCCGCUUUUGGUACAGAACCGCUUGAUGUCCGAACUGUUUCUCAAGGAGCGGAGCAUCAUCCGAGAGGUAUUAAAGUCUGGUCCUUGACCCAGUUUUCCUCCUGACCUCAAGACCUUCUGACCUAGCAUCACCCUUUCAGCCAGACUAGCCAGCUCUGGCAUCAUUUACCCACAAAUAAAAACCAUUGGGUUGAAGAUGACAAAUGGGUUGUUUUUGUUUGUCGGAAAACUGGCGUCUUAAAACAAAAUAGGUCUAUAGUUC
rnacentral:lncRNA from 1 species